ACCGGCGGCUCGAGUGGUGGCCACUAUUACUGGGCUUAAAGCGUUCGUAGCUGGCUUGUUAAGUCUCUGGGGAAAUCUUCCGGCUCAACCGGAAGGCGUCUCAGGGAUACUGGCAGGCUAGGGGCCGGAGGAGGUGAGCGGUACUCCAGGGGUAGGAGUGAAAUGCUGAGAUCCUUGGAGGACCACCAGUGGCGAAGGCGUCUCACCAGGACGGUUCCGACAGUGAGGAACGAAAGCUGGGGGAGCAAACGG
rnacentral:rRNA from 1 species